AUGAACGCUAGCUACAGGCUUAACACAUGCAAGUCGAGGGGCAGCAUGGUCUUAGCUUGCUAAGGCCGAUGGCGACCGGCGCACGGGUGAGUAACGCGUAUCCAACCUGCCUUACACUCUUGGACAGCCUUCUGAAAGGGAGAUUAAUACAAGAUGUUAUCAUGAGUAAGCAUUUUCGCAUGAUUAAAGGUUUACCGGUGUAAGAUGGGGAUGCGUUCCAUUAGAUAGUAGGCGGGGUAACGGCCCACCUAGUCUUCGAUGGAUAGGGGUUCUGAGAGGAAGGUCCCCCACAUUGGAACUGAGACACGGUCCAAACUCCUACGGGAGGCAGCAGUGAGGAAUAUUGGUCAAUGGACGAGAGUCUGAACCAGCCAAGUAGCGUGAAGGAUGAAGGUUCUAUGGAUUGUAAACUUCUUUUAUACGGGAAUAAACGAAUCCACGCGUGGAUUUUUGCAUGUACCGUAUGAAUAAGGAUCGGCUAACUCCGUGCCAGCAGCCGCGGUAAUACGGAGGAUCCGAGCGUUAUCCGGAUUUAUUGGGUUUAAAGGGAGCGUAGAUGGGUUGUUAAGUCAGUUGUGAAAGUUUGCGGCUCAACCGUAAAAUUGCAAUUGAUACUGGCAGUCUUGAGUACAGUUGAGGUAGGCGGAAUUCGUGGUGUAGCGGUGAAAUGCUUAGAUAUCACGAAGAACUCCGAUUGCGAAGGCAGCUUACUAACCUGUAACUGACAUUGAUGCUCGAAAGUGUGGGUAUCAAACAGGAUUAGAUACCCUGGUAGUCCACACGGUAAACGAUGAAUACUCGCUGUAGGCGAUAUACAGUCUGCGGCCAAGCGAAAGCAUUAAGUAUUCCACCUGGGGAGUACGCCGGCAACGGUGAAACUCAAAGGAAUUGACGGGGGCCCGCACAAGCGGAGGAACAUGUGGUUUAAUUCGAUGAUACGCGAGGAACCUUACCCGGGCUUAAAUUGCAACCGAAUAUGGCGGAAACGCUAUAGCUAGCAAUAGCGGUUGUGAAGGUGCUGCAUGGUUGUCGUCAGCUCGUGCCGUGAGGUGUCGGCUUAAGUGCCAUAACGAGCGCAACCCUUGCCGAUAGUUACUAACAGGUCAUGCUGAGGACUCUGUCGUGACUGCCAUCGUAAGAUGUGAGGAAGGUGGGGAUGACGUCAAAUCAGCACGGCCCUUACGUCCGGGGCUACACACGUGUUACAAUGGGGGGUACAGAGGGCUGCUACCACGCAAGUGGAUGCCAAUCCCAAAAACCUCUCUCAGUUCGGAUUGAAGUCUGCAACCCGACUUCAUGAAGCUGGAUUCGCUAGUAAUCGCGCAUCAGCCACGGCGCGGUGAAUACGUUCCCGGGCCUUGUACACACCGCCCGUCAAGCCAUGGGAGCCGGGGGUACCUGAAGUGCGUAACCGCAAGGAGCGCCCUAGGGUAAAACUGGUGACUGGGGCU
rnacentral:rRNA from 1 species